rnacentral:rRNA from 1 species
UGGGGAAUAUUGGACAAUGGGGGCAACCCUGAUCCAGCCAUGCCGCGUGAGUGAUGAAGGCCUUCGGGUUGUAAAGCUCUUUUGGCGGGGACGAUGAUGACGGUACCCGCAGAAUAAGCCCCGGCUAACUUCGUGCCAGCAGCCGCGGUAAGACGAAGGGGGCUAGCGUUGUUCGGAAUUACUGGGCGUAAAGCGAGUGUAGGCGGUUGCCGUAGUCAGGUGUGAAAGCCUUGAGCUCAACUCAAGAAAUGCACUUGAUACUGGGUGACUAGAGGACCGGAGAGGAUAGUGGAAUUCCCAGUGUAGUGGUGAAAUACGUAGAGAUUGGGAAGAACACCAGUGGCGAAGGCGGCUAUCUGGACGGUUACUGACGCUAAGACUCGAAAGCGUGGGGAGCAAAACAGGAUUAGAUACCCUGGUAGUCCACGCCGUAAACGAUGGGUGCUAGACGUUGGCGAGCUUGCUCGUCAGUGUCACAGCUAACGCGUUAAGCACCCCGCCUGGGGAGUACGGCCGCAAGGUUGAAANUCAAAGGAAUUGACGGGGUCAUAGCUGUUUCCU